UAAUACAUGCAAGUCGAGCGGACGGAUGGGAGCUUGCUCCCUGAAGUCAGCGGCGGACGGGUGAGUAACACGUGGGCAACCUGCCUGUAAGACUGGGAUAACUUCGGGAAACCGGAGCUAAUACCGGAUAAUGCAUUUCCCCUCAUGAGGAUAUGCUGAAAGAUGGUUUCGGCUAUCACUUACAGAUGGGCCCGCGGCGCAUUAGCUAGUUGGUGAGGUAACGGCUCACCAAGGCAACGAUGCGUAGCCGACCUGAGAGGGUGAUCGGCCACACUGGGACUGAGACACGGCCCAGACUCCUACGGGAGGCAGCAGUAGGGAAUCUUCCGCAAUGGACGAAAGUCUGACGGAGCAACGCCGCGUGAGUGAUGAAGGUUUUCGGAUCGUAAAACUCUGUUGUCAGGGAAGAACAAGUGCCGGAGUAACUGCCGGCACCUUGACGGUACCUGACCAGAAAGCCACGGCUAACUACGUGCCAGCAGCCGCGGUAAUACGUAGGUGGCAAGCGUUGUCCGGAAUUAUUGGGCGUAAAGCGCGCGCAGGCGGUCUCUUAAGUCUGAUGUGAAAGCCCACGGCUCAACCGUGGAGGGUCAUUGGAAACUGGGGGACUUGAGUGCAGAAGAGGAAAGUGGAAUUCCACGUGUAGCGGUGAAAUGCGUAGAGAUGUGGAGGAACACCAGUGGCGAACGCGACUUUCUGGUCUGUAACUGACGCUGAGGCGCGAAAGCGUGGGGAGCAAC
rnacentral:rRNA from 1 species